GACGAACGCUGGCGGCGUGCCUAAUACAUGCAAGUUGAGCGCUGAAGGUUGGUACUUGUACCAACUGGAUGAGCAGCGAACGGGUGAGUAACGCGUGUGGAAUCUGCCUUUGAGCGGGGGACAACAUUUGGAAACGAAUGCUAAUACCGCAUAAAAACUUUAAACACAAGUUUUAAGUUUGAAAGAUGCAAUUGCAUCACUCAAAGAUGAUCCCGCGUUGUAUUAGCUAGUUGGUGAGGUAAAGGCUCACCAAGGCGAGGAUACAUAGCCGACCUGAGAGGGUGAUCGGCCACAUUGGGACUGUGACCCGGCACAAACGCCUACGGGAGGCAGCAGUAGGGAAUCUUCGGCCAUGGACGAAAGUCUGACCGAGAAACGCCGCGGGAGUGAAGAAGGUUGUCGGAUCGUAAAACUCGGUUGGUAGAGAAGAACGUUGGUGAGAGUGGAAAGCUCAUCAAGUGACGGUAACUACCCAGAAAGGGACGGCUAACUACGUG
rnacentral:rRNA from 1 species